CUUGCUCUUUUGAUUUCUUUGCAGCCAAGGUUUGCUGUCGAGAAGUCCUCUGUGUCCCAGAGCCAGCUGGCUUGGAGGCUAAGGCUUUCCCACUUAGUGCAGACUCUUUUCUUUCAGCUUCUUGCUUCUCAGCAUCCAGCUUUCCCUUUGUUUUCUUAAUCAUUGGUACCUGAAAAAUUCAAAACUUGAAAAGGGAUAAGUAGAUGGAAGCAAAGAAGAUUAAGACUUUGUAAAUGAAAAUUGCAAGAGUAAACUCAACAAAUGAACUAGCAAUUUAAGCUCAAGUUAACCCAAUGCAACUAUUUCACACAUUUAGCACUAAGAAGCCAAGCUAAGAGCAAAGAAUCACACUUCUCAAUCUUAUCAAAAUAUGAAAAUUACAAGUUAAGUAAAAUUCAAUAAUCAAAGUGGUUCUAGAAUGAGAAAAUUCUUUAAUCAAACUUUUAAACGCCUUAACACACCAAGUUCACCCACCAACACACUCAAUUAAGGUCAAUUUCGAAAAGCCCCAAAUCCAUGAACCCUAAUUUUGUCAAAGUUCAAAUUAAACUCAAUUUCACCAUUAAUUUAACAACCCAACUUGAUAGAUAAACUUUUCCUAGUCUAUUUCACCACAAUCAAGCAAGAAAAUGACC
rnacentral:lncRNA from 1 species